GGGCUGUUGAGCAUCCAGUCACCAUUUGACCCCUUCUUUGAGGAAAUUCCUUUGAAGCCUGGCAUGAGUUAUGAAGUGUUUGUUCGUAUGGAAGAAGAACGCUUAUUGCCAUAUCCUUAUGAAUCAGACUGUCGAAAUUACAACGACGAAUGGCUAGCCAACAAUAAAAGUGGACCCAGGUCCAGAGAGAUGUGUUUAAUUCUAUGCGCAGAAAACUUUUACAUUCGAACGAAUCUGAGAUUCUGUAAGUCAAUUUGGUUCUUUAAUGAAAGACUGACGCC